AACGAACGCUGGCGGCGUGCCUAACACAUGCAAGUCGUGCGAGAAACCGAGGGCAACCUCGCGAGUAAAGCGGCGUACGGGUGAGUAACACGUAGGUAACCUACCUCCAAGUCUGGGAUAACUCUCCGAAAGGAAAGCUAAUACCAGAUAAAACCGCUAGGCGAGAGCCUAGCGGCCAAAGAUGGCCUCUGCUUGCAAGCUAUCGCUCGAAGAUGGGCCCGCGCACCAUAGCUAGUUGGCGGAGUAACAGCCCACCAAGGCGAAGAUGGUUAGCUGGUCUGAGAGGAUGAUCAGCCACACUGGGACUGAGACACGG
rnacentral:rRNA from 1 species